rnacentral:lncRNA from 1 species
AAGCUGGUGGAAUGACUGUACCAUUUACUGGUUCACUGAAGGUCUUAACCUCCACAGCUUUGACAAAGAGGCCAUGUGUCCCAUGCUGAGAAGAUUCAAGGCUGAAAGUGGAAGUGGAGCUUCCUGUUUGGUGGAAGAUGACUCCAGUGGCUGCAUCAGGAAACAGAGGAGCAUAAGACGGAAGGAAAAACCUUCCAUCAAUGUGUGA